AUUUUUUAGUAGAGAUGGAGUUUCACCGUGUUAGCCAGGAUGGUCUCGAUCUCCUGACCUUGUGAUCCGCCUGUCUCGGCCCCCCAAAGUGCUGGGAUUACAGGCUUGAGCCACCACGCCCAGCCAUUUUUUUUUUUUUUUUUUUUUAAGCUGUAGAGUCAUUUUCCACAAAAGGAUUCCACAAAAUCCAAGCAAAAUCUUAUGGAAAAGCCUAAGAGAAAGAAAAGCAAAACUUUGGCUGAAAUGAGGAAGAUGGUUUGGGGCAACCUAGAGCUCUCUGCAGACGCAUUCACGUUGAGACUAUGCUGGGAUGGAGGGUUCUGUCAGGUUCCGACCAGAUCACUGAAGGCCAUCAGCAUUACAGUCACCCCUCGGUAUAUGAAGGGAGUUGGCUCCAGGACCCCAACUUGUACUGUGAAUACUCAAGUCCCACUGUUGGCCCUGUGGAACCUGCAGAUACUAAAAGUCGACCCUCUGUAUAUGUGGGUUUUUGGAUCCACGUUGGAUUGAAAAAAUCCCCAAAUCCCCAUAUAAGUGGACUUACACAAUUCAAACGUGUGGUUCAAGGGUCAGCUGUAUGAAGACUGCUCCAUGUGUGGUGGACAGUGAGGCUUUAGAAAGAGAAGAUAGGCAGGCUACUGGAUAGUCUUCAUGGGUGUGGGCAAGGAGUGGUCACUGCACGCAGGCAGUUGGUCUGUGGGACCAGUGAGGCAUGGGCUGUGGCUGGCAGUAGGAAAGUGGGAGAGGCUGAGUGCAGUGGCUCAUGCCUGUAAUCCCAGCACUUUGGGAAGCCAAGGCAAGAGGCUUGAGCCUGGGAGGUCGAGGCUGUAGUAAGCCAUAAUCGUGCCACUGCACUCCAGGCUGGGCGACAGAACACGACCUUAUCUCAAAAACAACAAAACAAAAAUGGGGAGAGGAAAGGACCCAAGAGAUGUUCCAAAAAAGCAUUUCAGGAAACAAUGAAGAGUUGCAAAUGGGGCAUCAGGAGCAGAGAUUAGGUGGCAGGCAGGGGGUGCAG
rnacentral:lncRNA from 1 species